rnacentral:rRNA from 2 species
GACGGGUGAGUAACACGUGGGCAACCUGCCUGUAAGAUCGGAAUAACCCCGGGAAACCGGGGCUAAUGCCGGGUAAUACUUUCUUUCGCAUGAAGGAAAGUUGAAAGAUGGCUUCUUGCUAUCACUUACAGAUGGGCCCGCGGCGCAUUAGCUAGUUGGUGAGGUAACGGCUCACCAAGGCGACGAUGCGUAGCCGACCUGAGAGGGUGAUCGGCCACACUGGGACUGAGACACGGCCCAGACUCCUACGGGAGGCAGCAGUAGGGAAUCUUCCGCAAUGGACGAAAGUCUGACGGAGCAACGCCGCGUGAACGAUGAAGGUCUUCGGAUCGUAAAGUUCUGUUGUUAGGGAAGAACAAGUACCGUGCGAAUAGAGCGGUACCUUGACGGUACCUAACGAGGAAGCCCCGGCUAACUACGUGCCAGCAGCCGCGGUAAUACGUAGGGGGCAAGCGUUGUCCGGAAUUAUUGGGCGUAAAGCGCGCGCAGGCGGUUCCUUAAGUCUGAUGUGAAAGCCCACGGCUCAACCGUGGAGGGUCAUUGGAAACUGGGGAACUUGAGGACAGAAGAGGAGAGUGGAAUUCCACGUGUAGCGGUGAAAUGCGUAGAUAUGUGGAGGAACACCAGUGGCGAAGGCGACUCUCUGGUCUGUUUCUGACGCUGAGGUGCGAAAGCGUGGGUAGCAAACAGGAUUAGAUACCCUGGUAGUCCACGCCGUAAACGAUGAGUG